rnacentral:tRNA from 1 species
AGUCCCGUGGUGAAGAAGCACGUUGGAUUGCAAAUCCAGAGACGCAGUGUAACACGCUGCCGGGGCUU